GCGGCCCCGGCCCCGCGCCGCGAACCGCCCCCCGGCGGCCUCGGCCCCCGCCCCGCGCCGCCCCGCGCGGCGCCGGCAAACCUGCCUCCCAACCCAGGACUGGGCUUUAGAACCGUGGGCAGCCAGUCCCGGCGCAUCGCGGGGCCGCGCGCGUCUGCCUGCCCCUGGGGGCUGCGCCUAUCCGCCCAGAUACUGGGCGCAGAUCCAGCAAUAAAUCCAGAGAUCCGCACACAUACGCGGUAACAGACUGAUAGAUACAGUCCAGUCUGUAACCACAGACAGAUACACGUACAUAGUGGUAGACAGACACAGACACAAACAGAUACAUGGAUGUAUGGAUAGAACCCACUCCAUAGUGACAGGCAGGCAGAUACCCCUAACUACGGACCAGUCCGCACGCACACAUCCCCAAAACAGCCUGCAGAGGUGACCACGGCUUCUCAGGCUUUUCUCUACAGCCGUGAGGAAAAGCUGCUUCCUUCCACCUUCACUCCUCCCGGGAGACAUGACCACACAAAAGUUGAGAAGAGACUAGAGGGAGGGGAAAUUUGCCAGGAGUUUAAUUGUACCCUAUUGACACUGAAGUUUUCAAAUAGGGCAAGCAAUGAAGAGGCAUGGCAAAGUUUUUUUGGUGGCAUUUUUUAGGUACAGUUGGCUGAACAUUUCUGUACAACACAUUUUCUACCAGCACAUUCAGUUUCAUCAAUCUUUUUAUUUUUUAUUUUUUUUUAAUCAGGCCUUGGCAAGUUUUUUCAUUUAAAAUGUAAAGAGAUGUUUGAUACCAGGUUUCAUAGAUUCGUAGAUGUUAGGGGCUGGAAGGGACGUCACAAGAUCAUCGGACCCAGCCCCACUGCGCUUGGGCAGGAAAGACUGCUGGGACCCCAGCAAGUUUCAGGCUAGAGGUGCACCAAUACAUCGAUCCAUAUUGGCUGAUGUGGCCAAUAAUAUUGCCAAUAAAUGCCACGUGCGUGUGCACAGCUGCAGCAUGCAUGCAGCCAGGAGUGCAGUCCAGCAGCUUGGAGAGCAGUGUCCAGCCAGGAUGAGUAUGGCAACAGAAUAAAAAUAUUCAUGAUCUGUCAGACUACGUGACCAAGAGACUUCAAAUGCUGCUCUACAUAAGAAAGUAUUCACAAAACUGCUCCUGCAGACCCCCUAAGUGCUGAACAAUUAUAUCCUGGAUACUGUCAACUUACAGAUCACUGCACUGUUGAACAACAUCCUCCAUUGUUGAAACAGAUCCCUGCUGCUCACAUGAAGACCACAGUUCAAGUUUGUUAAUGAAUGCUGCUAUCCAAUCAAUAGCAAUGAACACAUUUGCAUCUCAUCCCUGAACACAUUCAGAGACUAUGACAGCCAGAUAUAAGAACAAAGAUACCCAAUGAGUGUCACUGAAAUACUGUAAAAGUGGGGAGUUACUACCAGCAAGAAAAAUACAGACUUUGUUGCGUAGUUCACAUGGUCUUGUCAGUACUUUGCUCCUGGGCAGCCAUCGGACUUCUGCAUGUAGCAACAACUGUGUGAAGUUUGCCCCCAUCUCUUUGCAUAAAAUUCCAAAGGCUGAAACUGAGCUCAAACUGGCCACACAAAUUAAGGACAAUAAAAAGUCCCUCUUCAGAUGUGUAGAAAGUUGAAAAAAACCAAGGGUAACCCUUGGACCCUUACUAAACCAAGUGGGGAAGCUGAUAACUGACACCCAGGAAAAACCCAAUCUCCUUAACGACUAUUCUAUGUUGGUCUUCCAUUGGCCCAAGGAGAUCAUCCUGCCUGACAGGAUGCAGGUUCACCAGGGAAAUGGCAUCCAUCAUUGGCGUUGACCUUGUGAGGGAAUACCUUGAGAGACUGGAUAUCCACAGAUCAGCCAGCCUGGAUGGAAUGCAUCCAAGAGUGCUAAAGGAGUUGGCUGACAUCAUAGCAUGGCCAAUGGCAAGGAUAUUGAGAACUUGUGGCACUCAGGUGAGGUGCCUGAUGAUUGGAAGAGGGCCAAUGUGGUGUCUAUCUUCAAGAAAGGGAGGAAGGAAGAUCCAGGGAAAUAUAGGCCAAUCAGUUUGACCUCAUUCCCUGGAAAGAUCUUGGAUAAAAUCAUCAAGGAAACCAUUAACAACAGGCUAACAGAAGGUAACAUUCUGAGAGACAGUCAACAGUUUUGUUGUGGGUAGGUCUUGCCUGACCAAUCUCAUUUCCUUCUAUGACCAGGUAAUGCAUCACCUGGACAAAGAAGAAGAGGUGGAUAUCAUAUUUUUGGACUUCAAGAAAGCCUUUGAACUGGUGUUCCAUGAUGUCCUCAUGGAAACAUUGGGGAAUUGUCGCCUCAACAAUUUCACAGUCUGAUGGCUGAGGAACUGGUUCUGUGGAUGGACCCAGAGAGUGAUAGUUGAUCGAACCAAAUCAAUAUGGCACAUGGUGACCAGUGGCAUCCCCCAGGGCUCCAUUCUUGGACCUGUAUUCUUCAAUGUGUUUCUAAAUGAUCUGGGCUCUGGUGUCCGAAGCGGACUGGCUAAGUUCUCUGAUGACACCACACUAUGGGGAAGUGUGGUCACCCUACAGGAUAGGCUGGCAAUCCAGGCUGAACUUGAAAGACUUACAAGGUGGGUGAAUCAAAACCUGAUAGCAUUUAAUACUGAGAAAUGCAAGGUGCUCAACCUAGGGAGGAAAACCCACACCACAUUUAUAGGCUCAGCAGUACCACACUCGCUAGCACCAGGACUGAAAGAGACUUGGGGGGUCAUGAUUGACCAUAAGUUGAACAUAAGCCACCAAUGCGAUGUCGCAGCCAGCAAAGCAAAGAAAACUCUGGCUUGCAUCUACUGAUGCAUCUCAGGCAAGACCCAGGAAGUCAUCCUCCCACUUUACUCGGCCUUGGUGAGAUUACAGCUGGAAUACUGUGUCCAGUUCUGGGCUCCGCAAUUCAGAAAGGAUGUGGAGAAGCUUGAGAGAGUCCAGAGGAGAGCCACACAUGAUUAGAGGACAAGAGAGCAGACCUUAUGAGGACAGGCUGAGAGACAUGGGACUCUUCAGCCUGGAAAAGCAUAGGCUCAGAGGUGACUUGGUGGCAGCCUAUAAGUACAUAAGGGGUGUGCAUCAGGAACUGGGAGAACAUCUGUUCACCAGGACACCCCAUGGGAAGACAAGGUCCAAUGGUCACAAACUCCUGGAAGACUAUUUUAGGCUGGACUUAAGGAAAAACUUCUGUACUGUCCAAGUCCCCAGGGCCUGGAAUAGACUCCCCCAGAAGUGGUGCAAGCACCUACUCUGGAUACUUAAAAAAAACACCUGGAUGCCUGCCUUGCUGGGAUCAUUUGACCCCUGCUGACUUCCUACCCCUUGGGCAGGUGGCUGGACCCAAUGAUCUUGCAAGGUCCCCUCCAGCCCUAAUGUCUAUGAAAUCUAUGAAACUCUCGAAUUACCCAGGCACGACUUUAUAAAGCUUACAGUUUUUACUGCAACUGAAACAACAUUGCUGAGCUCCUCUGACAUCUUAGCAGCCAAUGCCUGUCUGUGGAUCAUACAGGCUAUGUAUAGAUAGUCAAAAAGCCUGAGAGUGAAUUGAUUCGCUCUUUGCAUGUUAGUCCAAACUACAGAGAUUAAACUGAGAAGCAAGCGAACAGACGUUCACUUUUGUUUCAGAAAAUGCAGCCACAUGCCUGCAGUGGCUCAGACCAGAAGCCAGGGGGUGCUAGAGCAUGCCUCCCAGCCUGCCGACCACUGCCAAAGGGAAGGCUUUUCCUGCUUCCCUGCUCAAACGGAGAAGGUGUGGCCACACCCCGUGCUCUCCACUCAAGUAGGGAGUGGGACACAGGGUUGGGGGGCGGGACAACAGCCUGGGAGAGACUGCCCCCACCCUCCAAGCAAACCCCAGCUGAGGUCCAUGGCCUAGGAAGGGGGUUUUAACCCCCUUCCCCAGCUCAGAGUGCUGGCUCCAGGCACAGACACAUUCUUUUAUAUCAGGAGCGGGCAAAUUGCAGGCCACCAAGUACUUUCAUCAAGCCUGCAGUGCUCAGCAACAAACUGUCCCAUCCAGCCCUUCUGCCCAUGAGGGUGGGAGUGAGGUACUCACAUGUACACCCUCCCCCCAAACAUAACCUAUUGUGCCUUGCUCCCACCUUCAUGGGCAGAAAGGCCUGGCCCAGCCAGCAUGCAGCUUCUGGGCCAUGGGGGGACAGUCCCUCCUAGGCUGUUGCCCCCCUCCUACCCCAUGCUCCAUGCUUGAGUGUAGAGCAGGAGGAAUGGCCACACCCCAGCCAGAACCAGUGGUCUGAGCCAGGGAAGGGGGGUUUAAAUCUCCCCGGCCCCAGACCCCAGCUGGGGUUUGCCUAGGGGAGGCAGUCCCUCCCAUGCUGGCACCCCCUCCACCCCACACUCUGCCCCACACUUCCACCCCGUCUGGUCCAGCAGCAGCCUGGCAGGGGCUGCUGUGCCCAUGCCAAGCAGACCCUGGCUGCAAAGUGUCCUGGGUGCUGUGGGACUGUGAGUCAACUUGAACCAGGAAGUGGUCUGGGACAAAAGUUUCAUAAACUGGUUUGACCUAAAUUAGUUAAGUUUGAUACUACAUUCAAGCAGGUUUAUCUUAAACCAGUUCCAGACAUUUUGAAACUGUUUUAUAUGCAAUGAACUUCUGUUCUGUUACAGGUUUAAGUCAGUUUCUGAUCAUUUAAACUGGUUUAUGUAUAACUUCUGUCCCUAGCCGCAAUGAUUCCAAGUUACAAGCCUGCUAGGCUAUCCUGUCAUAGACCCUGCUCCAUUACUGAAAAUUCCAAAAUAAUGUCCCCAGUUAAGGCCUGGAACUUGGACAAAGUAUUUAACAGUUUUAAAAGCAUUUCACCGAUUGCUCGUGUGGGGAGAGGACAGCAAAACAGAAAUUACUCCUUUAAUUCAGUUGCUGUAGCAAAACAAAUAUACACCAGUAGUUGUGCAGCAUUUGAUAUAUCUGUAGACUCACGUGUCUAAAUGGAAUAAUAUGGGCUCUGAUGAACACUUGCUAAGAACUGCUCUUUUACAUCAGUGGCCAUCUCUGCAGUCUGGUGUGAAACUGUCAUUUGAAAGCAGGAUCGCAUCUAGUUGUUGCACUGCGUUCUGCUUUAUCAUAACUGAACACAUAUCCUUUGCAGCUGGAAGUAGUUGCUUUUCACAUAUGUUGUGAUCCUUGCCUGCUUUGUCAAUGUGCAAAGCCACAUGGUAAGAAGCCUCAGUAGCAUGAAUGCCACGUGGCCCCGGAGGCUGGCAGGGCAUGGUGAGCUCCAGCAGUCGGUGGCGGUGCUCUUGGUGGUGGGAGCGUGGCAGUGGCAAGCGGUGAGCUCUCGCAGGUGGCUGAAGUGCUGUUGGUGGAGGAGGGAGUGGUGAGCACUGCCUCCAGACGCCACUGGCAGUGUCAGUGGCCGCCAAUGGUGAUUGGGGACCACACACAGACGCUGCUGGCCGUGCGGGCAGCACUUUUUGCAGGGGGUGCACUGCCAAGCUCAGGGGGUGCAUGUGCACCUGCAUGCACCCUCUAUGAGUUGCCAAUGCUCAGUAGCCUCCAUGUUAACAGUGCUGUACACUUCAACAGCUUUUCUUGUCCUGUUAACCCAUUGAGCUUCCUCUGAAAAACAUCCAUGGGUUUAGAUACUAAGGUAGGGUGUCUUGUUUCAAGAUGCUGGUGUAGCUUGCAGGGCCACAUACUGUUGUUUGCCAGGACUUCAGCAUAUACAACAUGUUGAGGCCUCAGUGCAUCGCUGGACCCACUCCAUGUAAAAACCAAGUUUUAAAUAAACAUUGUCAUCUUUUCAACCUUUGUGUUUUGCUGGAACCUCUGCUGCUGGGCUUCAGCUUGGGUUGUAUGCUUUUCUCCCUUUGUUGCAAAACAAUCCAUAUCUUCUUUAAGCUGUUUCUCACUAAGCACACUGCUGAGUUUUGCAAGUUUGCUUACAAAAAACGAUGCAACAUACAUCUGACAUGUCACAGUUGCUAAGCAACAUUAGUACAUUAAACACAAGCUUUUUGCAUUAUUUUUAGUUAUUUUAAAAUAUAAUACAUUUAAAAUAUAUAACUUGCUUUUCAACUCAUCCAACCUCUCCUCAAAAAACAAAGACUCAGAGCUUGAGCAUCCCUUGACACGAUGCUGUGCCUCAUCAGGGAGGCCCACCACAUAGUUUGAGAACCGAGAACCACUGGUAUAAACAAUAUGUAGAGCUUGAGCCAGGACCCAGGAUUUAGCCUCCACAUCUUAUUGAAAGCAUUUUUGCCUAUUUGCUGUAUCCUUGUCCCAGAGAUUUUAGAGCCUGUCAUGUUUUGAAUGCAUCCUUUUCAGUCUCUGUGAACUAACCAGACCUCCAUCACUUAGGUCACCACAAUCUAUCUCCUCUGAUAGAAAGUGGUACUAUUGCUCUUCUGAAGGAAUCCAAAAAUCCUGAAGAUGUUAGGUUAGACAUAAACAGAGCCUUUCAGGGAAUGAAGGUGCAUUUAGCACAGAUUGAAAAACAAGUCGCAAAGCAUUCUGUACAGAAGAUUGCAUUUAAUCCAAGGCUUUUUCAUACUUUUGCUUGCUAGCAAAGUCAUUUAGAAGGGAUGAGGGUGUUCCUUUAGGAAAUGCCUAUAUUUCAUAUCAAGGUUCAGCUGAAAAUGAUUUGUUUUGAAUACAGCUUUCAAAUUUGUUGUAGUUGGUAUUUUCCAGCUUUGAAAGACAUCAUCCUGGAGAGUCCUUCCUUGAGACAAUCCAGACUCAGAGCUAAGAUGUGGUCUGCCUCCAGGACCCCUUGGAGGACUGUCUGACCUGGAGGAUCCUAGUAUGAAGGUUCUAAGAGAAGAACCGAUUUUUCCCUUUUUUUCAACACUUAAAACAGCUGUACAAAAUUACCUGCAAGCCAAACAAUAGAAGAAUACUGAACACAUAUGGCAAAUACACGAACAAUACCAACAACACCACAAUGGAAAACUUAAGUUACCCCUCUCUGCUUUUUUCCUACGCAUCCAGUAUUCUGCGCAGCUUACAUUUUUACUCUACAUUCUCUAGGACAUGAGUUUUGUAUUAUGUUUUGUAGACCAACAAUUACCAUAUCAAAAUUGGAAGAAAGUAACAAGCUAGCUAGCUUAUACCCAUCUUAUAUGCCCUUAGUCAUUUCCAUUAAAUCAUCAUAGGAAUGUUUCAGAAGUAUAAUAACUCCAUCUCAUGCAUCUUCACUCAAGUUUCCUUAUCCAGUACCUCCUCCCCUCUACCCACAGCUGCUAUCACUCACUGAAUUACUGGCAGUAGUACAUCCAGUUGUGACAUUACUUAGAAAGGACAAAACCUACUUGGUGUCACAGAAAUAUCUGACUGUGUCAGUUGGACAAGUCCAAGAUCUGCCUUUUCCCUUUCAGUUUUAGCAUUCACGUUUCCUCACUGUCAUGGUACAAAGUAUUUAAAUUUGGAGUUUUAAUGUUUGGAAUAUUUCUUGCAGCUGUCCCAUAUUUUUUUCUUACUUUCCCUCUUUCAUUGUCUCAUUUAAAAAGAACAGUAAUGUAAUACAAAAUCCUACUUAAACUAUUUUGGAAUUGCUUGAUGAUUUGUUGUAAUAAAAAUGUUCUAUUACAUUCUAACAUAGGUGAUGCGUGGCGGGGCACAGGAGGUAUGUGCCCCCCCUGAGAUUGGCCACCGCCAAAGUCACCACGAGCUUCUGCGGGCAGUCUCUGCUCACCAUCCCCCCGCUCCCUGCUUGCUGUCAAUGUGGCCGCCGGUGUCUGUGGGCGGUCCCCACUCACCCUGCCCCCCGCCACUCCACGGCCAACACCGUCUGUGGGAGGACCCUGCUGCCGCCUACAAAUGGUGCCCCCCCAGUCUCAGGAGGCACCAAUCGUUCAUACAUUUUAACUUAGAGAGUAAUUAUUUGACAAAGUUACUGUACUCUCUCCUUUACCAGAGAAGAAACUGAUAGUAAGUGAAUUGAUAGUAAGUUGGAUGAGCCCAUUUCAGUUUCUAAUGGAUGGAAUCCUCUUGGACUUGUACAUGACAAAAACUGAGAAUUUCAAGUGAUCCUGGACUGGCUACCAAUGGCAUUCAAUCACAAUCAUCCUUCAGUGGAAUAGUUUUAUUUUUCAGGUUAUUUGGUAUUUAAAUAUUAUCCUAUUUACCCAAAUUCAAGACAACUCUGAAUUUAAGACAAACUCCCAGUAAUUAGAUUCUAUACAUGGAAAAUGAGAAAUUGGUUGUGUUUUUUAUGUAUAUCAUCUAAAAGUUGUCCCCACCCCACCACAAGGAAAGCAGUAGUAGGGAUGAGGGGCCAGCUUUCUGCCUCUUGCCCCCUACCAUGCCUGCACCUAUUUCUCUUCAGCCUAUCCCGUCUUCCACUGGUGCCCCUAAUGCCUGCCCCUGGCCCUCCUACCCCUUGUCCCCCUAUGCCUGUUUUCCUACUUGCCCCUACCCCACUGCCACCUGCUUCCUGCCCCUUGCCCCACUGUGCCUGUCUGCCCACAACCCACUUUCCUUCUGCUGCCUGGACCCUCCCAGUGCCUGCCCCCCACCCCCUGAUCCCCUGCAGCUUACCUUCUGGGCAGUUCUGGCUCUGGGUCAGGCAGCAGCGGUUGCCCUGCCUGAGCCCUGGACUAGCCCAGCCAGGUAGAAGAAAUAGUGGCAGCUCUGGACCUGCCCCAGUCAGGGCUAGAGAGUUUGGAGCCAGAUGUGAGAGUAGGUGAUGGGGGCAGGGCAGGCAUGCUGUGCAGUCUCCUCUGUGUGUCCCCCACUACCAUGCAGUCUCUACUGCACUCCUCCCACUGCAAGUCCCCUCUCCUGGCAUGAGCCACCCCAACCUGGGACAGGCAGUGGUUCAGCUGAGCUGUUGCCUGCCUUGGGCUGGUACUUGAAUCUAAGAGGAGGCUUUCCCCUACAUUCGGUUGAAGAGAAAUCCUCAUCUUGGAUUUGAGUAAAUACAGUAUUUUUUACAUAAUGAUUAACAAAGGUGACUUAACCUAAUAUUGGAUGCAACGUGGAACUGACUUGGGAAAAUCUUCUAGAGUCUGAAGUACUGGACCUCACAUAUUUUAAAAGAAAUUGAGAUACUUUGACUUUUAGAGAGCACUUUAUUAUCAUAGCUGCUUGCUAUUGGAUAUCCAUUUUCCUAACCAGAUGACCAGCAUUUUCCUGAAGGACAAAUGUCUUCUUGCAAAGUAUUGAGAAAAUCUCUCCUGAAGAAUGGCAGUCCAUCUUGCUGAAGCCCUGUCACAUUGCUAAGAAAGCCAUAUUAUUUGCUUGUAUGGCAAACAACAAAUCUGAAAAAUCUGUUCCUUAGAUUUAAUUGUUGAAAAUCCUGAAAAAGAAGGAAAGCAGUGCUUGAUCACCACUUAAACUACUCUUCUACACAUUUUCCAAAUGCCUUCUUUGUUUGCAUUUUUUUCUGUUCCAGAAGAAGAGACACCUGGCACAUUGGUUUGUAUUGUCAAUGCUUCACAGAUAUCCAGGCACAUUCUUAACCUUGUCCCUCAAAUCAAACUUUGUUCGCCAGUUAAGGAACAACCAUGUUUAAAACUUACAAACUUCCCUUAACGUCUUGAAUGGUCUUGCUCUUCCACUUACCAGGUUAUUCUUUUACUUUAUUUCUCUUGCCUAUUAGCUACCUGAUAAUCUCUCUUAUAUCCUGUUUUUAUUUAAGUAUGAAGUUCUGCAAGUCUUUGUUCUACCUGCAAUUUAUCUGCUCUGUUUGCUUUUUUUUCCCCCUCAGAGACCUGAGGAAAGCUAUAUUAAUACCCAAAAGCUUAUCUGUGUCCUUCCUAACUAUAUACAUACAUACUUCACUUGCAGGUAGUGGAGUUAAAUUGCACGUGACAUAGGCCCUAAUCCUGCAAACACACUUGAGAUUACUGUUUGCCUUGAUCCCAGACACUGAGUCUUCUCGUGGUAGUAAAAAUAAGCAUGUGCAUAAAUGCUUGCAACUCAAGGUCUAUAAUGAGUCAGCUGCAUCUGUUUGGUACCUUUAUGUUAUGUUCUAGCUCCCUCUAGAUGGUGAGGUAAGCAGAAGAGCUUUCCCUUCCUAUUUGAGGUCUUAGAACCAGCCAUCUUGUUAUAAUCCCUAACACAGAAAAAAUACUGUAGUCAUUUUUCCUAAUCCGCAUAGAUAGUUUACAGCUGGUACCAAAUCCUUAAUUUCAUUUCUCUCACAGCUAAAAAUGCAUAAAGCAAUAUAGGCUCUGCUCCCGUAGACUUUGACACUGCUGUUUAAACUUUAUACAAGUGUAUAUUUCCACUGACAUCAUCUAUUUACUCUUUUGGAUAAUUAAGGAAGUAGUAAAUAUCUUUAAAAUGAGAAAUCUGGAUAAAUUAAGCCAGUAGUGGCAUCAUUUAAUAGCUGAAGGCCAAAUCUUUUCUCAUUUACAGUAGUGUAAACUACUCCAUUUAUUUAGGGGCAAGGCCUCACCUACAACCUAGGUUAACAGAACAGAACAUGGUCAUUAGAAUGUAAUAACCUCAACCUUGAAUCCACUUCCUUUUGUUGCAUUAUAUCCUAUAGUUGGCUUUAAAAAAACCCAACAACCUAGAUUUACUCUUUAUGCCUUAGAUGAAAGCCUUAACAUUUGUCAUGUAUGUGAUAAUGUUGCUAGCUAUCCUGACUUUUAUAAUACAAUUUCCCUAACUUAAUGAUUACCACAAUUUUGUUAGCAGAUGCAUUGUAUUUGAAUAUUGAAACCUUAGCUUUAAUUGUGAAUAAUUUUACGGGACAACCUACAUGCAAAUCUUGGAUGGGAAGAAAAGAAUUAAGGAUUCUUAAAGGUUACGAGAGAAGUCAAAAGAAAGUGAUCGUAAUGAAACUCAAGUACCACUCAACAUGGAUAGUAUCCUGGGGAUGUCCUAGGUUGAACACUUUGUGUGGAUAAAUUCAGAAAGUCCCUCAGGAAAAGGAAGUGACUUUGGAUUUCAACCUGUGGGUAUCUCAAGAGAUCUUUCCUGUCACAAUGACCUUACUUUUAUAAUGGAUCUCUUCUUGUGAGAUGCUGAAUGCCUUUACUCACACUGAACUUAGUGCGAAUGAAGUGUUGCCCAAAGCCAGAAAACUUGUAAACCUCUCUGCCACAGAGAAAAUAUUUACAUAUUAUGUAAGGUAAGAAAGGGAAAUAUUACCCUAGGGAUGACUGAUGGAUGCAUUUUACAAUUUGAUACCAAUGUAUUAAAGAUAUGGAGAGAGAGACCUCAGUCUAUUUGGACAUAUUCUUGCAGCAGUUAUUUCAUAGUGAAAUUCCAAGUCAAUGAACAAGAUUAGAAAAAUCUUGUGCAGCUCAGUCUGCGUAUCAUAGUCUCUUUACAUAAUUAUGCAACUCUUUUUACCAUAUUUUUUUGCAUAGCACAUGGCCCCCCCCAAAAAUACAACCUGUUUUUGGAAAGGCAGAAUGAAAGAAAAAAAAUUGUGGCCACGUAGGACAGACACAAAGCCUCAUCUUCAACUCACUUUCCCUUACCUGCUUAGUCAAAAGCUACUGCUAUAACCCUUUCACAGCUGAAAUGUUAACAGCCCUUGGCUGCUCAGUCACCUGUAGCUGUGCUGAAGACUGGACUCUAUGGGCACAUCUAGGUUUUUGAAAAAAGCUAAAGACAUGCAGGGUUGUGAAACAGGAGAAGAGAAAACAGAAAUAGCUAACACACAGCAACAUAGCUGAAAAAAUGAUAGCUUGAUUGGUGGAAUAUCAAGACUAUUAAAACAGAGAGAGUCAGUUGACUCUCUCAGCUCUGCCUGGGUAGAAAUGCCACUGCUUCUACUGGGCAGUUGGUGUUAAACUUUGGGUAGAGCAGGAAUCAAAAUAGGGUGCAACCGCACCAUUCCACCCCUACAUUGGAUAUGCCCUUGCUAGACUCUUUCCUCUCUUCAUGCAGGUGCUAGAGAGAAGAGAAGGAAAAGCAGGAUUUCCAUGCUGCUAUUCCGUGUAGAAAAUCAGCUUCUCUGCUUAAGAUACACAUCCCAUUUUUGGCAGACUAAUCUUUGGGGAAAAGAUGCACGUGUUAUUGACAGUUCUGAUGGCGUCCUUGAAGACCACAUAGAAUGGGACCAACUUGAGGCUUAACCACUUCCACCAACAGGAUUUUGUGACUGAAAAGAACUGCAUCAAAGGAUUCCUGGUUCAAUCGCCCAACUGUCUUCACAACUAAAAUCUUCUGCAGGACCCCAAAUACUGGUUCACUGCUCAGGUAAAAAAGGAAUAAUGGAUUUAAAUACUGCAAAGUUGCCAUUUUAUUAGAUGAGUAUGUUUCUAUUCCCCUACUGGAAACCACCCCCCAAGAAAACAAACAAACAAAAACCAAACCCAGAGAUUGACAUCAAGGUGAAGUGCUUACAAGGAGUAUAUCUCCAAAUAAAGUGACUAAACAAGUAAGCACAACUGCCUGCCUGGGAAUGUUGUCACUUGGGCACAAGUGUUGAAAACAGAUUCAUGAGUGUGCCCAAGAACUGAGCACUGAAACAUAUUUUCAAACAUGUUCAACUUUUUCAGGUCAAGCAAGAAGAAAAAAGUAGGAAACAGAGGAAUUAAUGCAAAGCUAUAUCAGCUAUCUUUUGUAAUCUUGUUUGCUUCAAUUUAAAGUAUGAUUUUAAGUGUAAUAUGCAUAUGCAAGCUUAGGACACAGGCUUUUCUAAAGUCCAAAUGGAUAAGAAAAUUGUUAGAAUGAAAUAAAUCAUUUUUUUAAACAUAGAUAUUAGAAGUUAGUGCCAUUUCUUCAGUCUUUUCUUUUACUUCUGGGUUAGAGUGUGUGGAGAGGAUGCAGGGGGGGAGGAAGAGUAGUGCUUCUCAGUUAUGAAGCUGGGUGAAGCAAGAGAAGGAUGGACAUUGAGUUCCUUUUUUGAUUCAAUCCAAUUUGUUUGGCAGAAAACUUGUUAAACGUAAUUGAACUAUAUUCAAUUACUAUGGGCAAAUCUACACAUACCCCUAUGGUGCUGUUGUUACUGUGCUGUCAUUUAGUACUUCCAAAAGGUACUGUGCUGUGUGCAUGGCGCAAGGUUAUUUUUAGCUGCUACGUUGCCAUAGCAAUGCACUAUACUGAGGGAGCAUGUCAUUACAGCAAUGUAGCUGUGACGUCAUGGUUUUACCCAUGGACAUUAUGUCAUCAUAGCACACUGCUACAGUGAUGUAGCAUCAUGUGUAGACACAUCCACUAUCCUGAAAAAGACAGAUUCCAUUGCUGUAAUUCUGAGGUCUUUGAGGACCUUAUCUUGUUUAGCAUUACAGGCCAAGUCCUUGAUUAAGCCAAUUACAAACCAAAAUUAACAAUUACUUUCUUUGACCUUUAACUUCAAGACCAACUAAUAACUAUACUCAUGCCAUUCCAUAUACAUCUAGAAGGCUUCCUCUGACGGGGCAUGGAAGGCUUGUACACUCACUUACAGGGAAGUUUAACACCUACUUACAGGGAGGUUUACUAUCUUACUGACUACAUUUUCCAUUGUUAUUGUAAAUGUGCCUAGAAAGACACUGAUAGGGCCCCCAGGGAUAACACAGUCUCAAUUUUUAAAGAUCUACACAAAAGCUGGUUCUUUUCCCAGGCAAAAUGACUAAAAACAACAUUAAAUG